GGCGAUGUAGUAAUUGGCAGGCACGUCUAAGAACGUGCGCAGAAUGACGAAAGCACCGGGCCGGGAGGCAGCGCGGAACGGUCCGGGGGAGAUCGGCACUUCCUUCGGGACUUGAGGCGUCCAGCAUUCUUGGGCGUUGCUGGCUCUUUCGUGCACAAAUAGCGCCUCGCGCUCGAGGCUUACCACGCGUUCAAGCAGGCAGUUGGCGUCGUUGACGACGCCGUGCCUGUCGAACUGCUCUUCCGCUCCCCGAAGGCGCAUCCUUUCUAGGUUCGCCUUGAUUUCGCCAAGUCCAUCAACGAUACUUUCGACGUCCUCCUUGCUGACCGCUUGAGGUGCAACCAUUCCUCCUGUACACUCUUGGUAGUGACAGGCCGCGACGUUGCGAACCAGCGUCUGGCCGCAGCUGGCGCACUUCACCUCAUCACGGGCGCAUUGCGUCAAGUGAUGUUUCAGCUCUGACAGCUUUCCGACGAAACCGCAGUUGCCGUCGCCGACGAUGCAACUAACUAGGAGCUGCUCCAGGUCGGACUGCCUGAAGUUCAGCGAAACGGCGUCCGUCUCCGCGCAAACCCGGCCGUCGAAAGGACACUUCACUUCCUUGCGGGUCCGGCCCUUGCAGAUG
rnacentral:lncRNA from 1 species